GGUCUUGAACUCCUGACCUCAGGUGAUCCACCCGCCUUAGUCUCCCAAAGUGCUAGGAUUACAGGCGUGAGCCACCGUCCCCGGCUGACAGCCUGUAUCUUUACAUAGGAACAGCCCCAGCAUUUAGCUUAUUCAUUUGCACAACCGCAGUAGGAAGUAGACACUCUGAUUAUCGCCAUUUUACAGAUUCAGAAACAGAUACUCAGAGACAUCGAGUAGCCAGUCCAAGGUCACACAGCUGUCAAGCAAUGCACAGAAGCCCAAGGAACCCCUGUGCACAGUUCUAAGUCACCAUGUUCCACUCAUGACACUGGACGCCUCUUAUCCUCAGAAUGGUCCUCAGAGUUCUUCCAUGAACUGCUCCUGCUCAAGGAGAAAUGAACUCAGGCUGGCCUGACACAGUAGAGUUCAACAGAAGGAUUUCUUCUACCGCCUUGGGAAGAAUGUUCCAUUGUGGCAUCACGGUUACCAUGGCAUCACCAAGCAAAUGUCUGGACAUGGGGACUUAGGAGGAGCUAGGAUGAAAGGCCUCCUUGUUGCUUAGCCUUGGCAGGGCUCUUCUGGAAGCCAGGCUCUCUCCUAGUCGUCUGAGAAGACAUCCUUUUUGUUAGAUCCCAAAAUCCUCUCUGGUCGUGGCCACGGUCUGUCUACCCCACUCAGUGCCUGCCCUGUGUCCACACACGCUUGUCAGACUGGACUGAGGAAGCCCACAACUGGGGUGGGUUUGGAAUUUCCAGUCCGCGUCAGCAUCUUACACUCCCAGUGUGGUUUCUUUCAGACUUAGCCCAGUUUUCUUUAGCCUCUCAGUUUCCGGGUCCAAUCUAAGCUACCAGACCAGUUCUGCCAAACCAGAGGCCCGGAUGGGAUCUGCCACCCCAGCCACUGCGAGCAGCUUUGGUUUCAGCCCAAAUGCCAGGACUGGAGAAGUGUUGACAAGGUUGAGUUUCUAGGACGUUUGUUCAAAGAAUGAAUGAAUGAAGACAUGCAUUCAACUGCUGUGGACCAGUGGAAGCUACUAGUGGAGUCAGGGGCGCUGCAGCUGUGCACACAGGCAUGCAGUGUGGGAGCAUCGCUGGUGCAUCGCCUGACUUCUGAGGAUGCUUAACGUUUCAAACCACAGCAAACUUCAUUAUAGAACCUAUUUUCCAGAACACAUACACAAGAUAGUGCUGUGUGGAGGAAGAAAUGAGGUGCGCCUAGGAUCAUCAAAAUCUUCACUCCACCCCCAACCUCCUAUCCCCACUUUUUUGCCACUGACAGGUGAGCCCAUUGGAAAUAAGCCAGUAAGUCUUCCUGGGACCUCCUUCAGCUCCUUCUCCAGGGAAAAGGCAGAAUGCAAAUACAGUUUUCGCUCUUGUGUGAAUUUGGAAAAUGUGCAAUGUAGAGAGGCCCGUGUGCAUUUCAUGGCAGAUCCAGAAAAUAAGGUUUAAUGAUGAGAAAAGAAGGAAAUGAUUGUCAAAAUAUGACUUCAUAAGGUACAACCCCAGGGGGCCUACUUUGGCAGUAAAGAUAAUUAAGCUUAGAUUUUUAAAGGUCAAUUUUAACCAGCUUGUGAGGCAAAUGGCAACAGUAACAUCAUCCUAGCCCUCUAUAUCUAUGGCAACUGAAUUUCUCAGCUGUAAUUAAACAUAAAACUACAACUACUGCAUUGGUCCCAGCACCAGCUGCAAAUACAUAUACGAGAACAAAGUAGGCAAACUUGACACAUCCUUUUGGAAUAUUCUGGCCAUUUACUGGGAAAAGAAGCAACAGAAACUGCUGUUAAACCUGCUGCUAAUGACGCCAGGUUGCUGAUCCACCAACCUGCCUCUGUCUGGGACCUUGUGUGAGAGGAAGACUGAUCCCAAAUCAAUUGCUUUUCAUUCAUAUAUUGGUUAUAAGCUGGAGAGCAAAGGUAGCAAAAAAAAAAAAAAAAAAAAA